AUAGCUUUUCACGGGUAUAACGAGUUCUUUUUGUACUAAGCCUGUACGUUGGGAAUACUCCAAGUACAACCUGUCAUGGUGUCAGGCUACCGCACUAUCGUCAAUAUCUUAUCCCUUUCUCCCCCACCGACGCUUGACUCUCUUUCUUGCCUCACUCCUGAAUCUUGCAACCAGAGAGGGGAACCCGGAGAGGAAAGCGGCAAAGCUUGGAUGUGGCGCCAGAGGGCGCGGCGGCAGAGAUGCGAGCAGAGGGAGCGGCAGCCCCUCGACUCAUUCCCCCUCGAGAGAGCUCUGGAGCAGGGUGUGCGGAAGUCUCCGGUGGCCUGGUUUCAACGACGGGCUGGACAGGAUGAGUGAUGGCUUCCUCAACAUGGCCACAUCCGGCCGGCGCGGUGCACAGAUGACGCUGCAGUCACCGGUGUCCUUCGUAGACAUCGGCUCUUCUCUUACAUGCCUGCAGGUGAAUCAAGUUCAGAGGAAUAAUAUAUGUGAAACUUGAGGAAAGUGGUGGCAUCGGUGCUGUAGUGCAUAUGGAUUUUUGUUUUCUCUUGCUCAAGUUUACUCAACUUAAAUUUUGGUUGUCUGCGUAUGGCCUUGUUGUGGUGCAACUGAUGUAAAGCAUUGUCAAAGAUGACGUGUGAAACAAUGGGAUACGAGUUUAUGUAUGACAUGGCAUUUCUUAUCUGAAAUUUGGUUGUUUUUUAA